rnacentral:lncRNA from 1 species
GGCUAAGUUUCGUGUGGAUCACCAUUGGAAGACUUCUACUUUAGAGUCUCAUGGAGAUCAACAACAUGCCACAUUAUCAUUUUGAUGAAAGUAAAAAUUUUAUCCCUUUUUGCAUGCUUGUUUUGUUUGAUCGACAUCAGCAAGGUGAUUCUUAGGUUUAGAUUUUGGUUCGAUAGUUUUAUAUGUUAAAGCUAUUGACUUGUUUGAUUUUAAAAUUUUAAAAAUUACUUUCCACUGUAUGGCUGAAAUCCAACACA